GUGGUAAUAAAAUACAAACACAUUAUCACCAAUUGAUACACACACGCAUCUAUACCAAAAAAUCUCAAACGAUACCAUCGGUGCCCUAAUUUUGAAACAGAGAUCUGCUGAACGACCAGAGUUCUGCUCAAUCGAUACACCUCCGUCCGGCGAUUGGAGCUAUAAUCGAUACGCCUCUCACAGAGCUCAAUCCACAGCGCCUCCGUCCGGCGAUUGAAUCUAUCCAACAAAGCCUCCUCCGACCAGAGUUCUAUAAAUCGAUACGCCUCUCACAGAGCUCAAUCCACAGCGCCGGUGACUCGCCGUGAAAUCGCUGAAGGUAUAUUUGCUGUUAUAGGUUUUUGAUUGCAGAUCUACUCGCAGAGAAGAUCAGAGAUUAUUAUUAUUUGAGUGAGAUAUCAAGAUUAAUGUUGAAACGUGCGGAUAAACUUGAAGAUCAAAAUUGUUUCUAUAUCUCCAUGUGGAGCAGUAGAUGCAGAGGCUAAGAAAGUUCAAGCUAGCUGUGUUGUAUUGGACAUGAAGCUCAAACAUUAACAAAAGCAUUGUAUGAAAGACUUGCAAUGCGACAUUGUGAAAAUGAAAAAAACACAGCCAAAAGUUCUACAUCUAACUUUAGUUGGAUCACCUAAGAAGAAACUUGAAGCUAAUUGUCCAUUGUAUCAUCGUUUUUAGCUCUGUAACCAAUAGUUUAUUAAAAAAGGAUAAGUCAUUAGCCGGAAAGUUGAGAUUGACCUUAGUUCUGAUCGAGAAUUCUGAACUAAACAUGGCGCAGAGUAGAUGGGAAGCUGAUAAGACGUAAGAACUUAUCAUUGUUUCUGAAAUAAAAUGCCAUGAAUUUAAACAGAUGUUGGAUAAACACUGGGGUGGGGAACAUUGGUUAUAGUGGGUGUUGCAGCAUCAGGUCAAGAGAUAGCAACCCACCCAUUUCAACUGGUUACUGGUCGUGUUUGGAAAGGGACCGCUUUUGGUGGUUUUAAGAGCCAUUCACAAGUGCCUCAGCUUGUUGAUAAGUUAUUUUACAGGUUUUUUAGCUUAAAAUGAUUGAGUGGGUCUAAUGUGAAAUGGGAUUAUAUGUGAUGUAGCAAGACCAAUACAACACACAUGUUAGACGAGGCGGUGGAGUGUGUCAAGUUUAUGCAAAGAAAGAUUCAGGAACUUAGGGAGCAUCAAGACAACUGCAAAUGUUAAUCAAUAUCAACAUGAAGAAAUGACUCAAGUGAUGUUUAUGUUGUGGGGAUCCCCUUGAAGACAAAAGCACAUGCAGGGCAUACAAAACUAACCACCACCACAAACUAAUAUGGAAUGAACAACAUAUUUCGGUUUAACAGGUCAUUUGUAGCGAAAUAGUCUGAACGUGUGUAUCAAACAUGUUAAACAAAGCGACCCAAAACCUGAAAUUGGAGUUGUCUUUUAGGACGCGUUAGAUAACGGGUCGAACCAAAGGCUGAUGUAUCAUUUGUUUAUCAGUAUUUUUUUGCUGAUUUUCCUGCAAAUUGUAGCAAAAAAAGCUGGAUUUUCCAUUUUUUUUUUGUUUUAUUAAAUAUUCCGUCACAAAUGCGUUGCAAUUUUUU
rnacentral:lncRNA from 1 species